GGCUCAAUGGUCUAGUGGUAUGAUUCGCGCUUCGGGAUGGAUACUCUCCUCUCCUUGCUUGAGAAGAAGCAACCAAGAUGUGCGAGGUCUCGGGUUCGAUCCCCGAUUGAGCCC